rnacentral:rRNA from 1 species
AGGAUGAACGCUGGCGGUCUGCUUAACACAUGCAAGUCGAACGGAGUACCUCGGUACUUAGUGGCGGACGGGUGAGUAACGCGUGAGAAUCUGCCCUUAGGUCGGGGACAACCAUUGGAAACGAUGGCUAAUACCGGAUAAGCCGAGAGGUAAAAGAUUAAUUGCCUAGGGAAGAGCUCGCGUCUGAUUAGCUAGUUGGUGAGGUAAAGGCUCACCAAGGCAUCGAUCAGUAGCUGGUCUGAGAGGAUGAUCAGCCACACUGGGACUGAGACACGGCCCAGACUCCUACGGGAGGCAGCAGUGGGGAAUUUUCCGCAAUGGGCGAAAGCCUGACGGAGCAAGACCGCGUGAGGGAGGAAGGCUCUUGGGGUUGUAAACCUCUUUUCUUGGGGAAGAACAAAAUGACGGUACCCAAGGAAUCAGCAUCGGCUAACUCCGUGCCAGCAGCCGC